rnacentral:tRNA from 1 species
GGACGAACACGCGCCAGGGGCUGAGCGCUGUGCGAUGCAUCGACUUCACGUCGGGUGCGCGCCGGCAUGUCUCUCGUGUUAGGGGCUUGUAGCUCAGUUGGUUAGAGCGCGCGCUUGAUAAGCGUGAGGUCGGAAGUUCAAGUCUUCCCAGGCCCACCAGCCUUCGCGCUUCGCUGCUUCGGCUAGGCAGGCCUUUCAAGAUGAAGGCUGCUGCGCCGCAGCCUUGGCGAAGGCGAGCGGGUAUCAACAAUGCGCUUCGUCUUCUGGUACGGGGCCAUAGCUCAGCUGGGAGAGCGCGUGCUUUGCAAGCAUGAGGUCGUCGGUUCGAUCCCGUCUGGCUCCACCAGAUGGAAUUGAAGCUCGAGAAUACGCCUUGCUUGAGAGGCUCUGUUCAUAUCGUCCGCGAAACAUCACUUCGCACGCAUUGGUCCGGAUGGACGGUGACGUGCGUGUUUUCUGACAUCGUAAAGAGGAGAUCGAUCCGAGUUUGGAUCCAGCGAAGCAAUUCGCGGGUACCAUUCCUAAUCUCCAGAUCGUUUUCGGCGCUCGCGCAUCGUAGCUCAUCGCAAGAUGAGUGAGGUGAGCGAGUUGUAAAACGAUCUUUGUAGCGAAGCUUGACCGCCUCGCUAUCGGGCCGAUCUUACGAAGCA